UAUACUCCAAUAAAGAUGUUAAAAGAAAAAAGUCACCUUUGCUAUGCCAAUGCCUGAGUUAAUGAGCUGAGAGAAGAAAAGGUCAAAAAGGAGAAACCUAAAGGCAAUGUGAGUUGGGGGGUGAGACAGCUUCUCCUUUUCAGCACUUUCUUCGAAAACUUGGGUCGUUUUAUUUCUCAUUUGCUCAGCCAUGUGUGCUCACUCUCUCCUUUACCUUGAGAGGUGACUGUUAGACAUGCACAAGAGUAGAACAUGAAGGCCUCCAGAUAAAGUAGACACUGACAGGACACACUGAGUCUAAGUCGUUUGUUUUCUUUGACAGGGCUUUACCAGGCUGGAUGGAAGAAGAAAAGACCAUCAGUAAAGCAAAUGGCUCAAGUGGAGUUAUAAAUCGACUCUGUACUCUUCAGAGCAUUUAUUCAACUGAAGACAUACCCAAUUAAGGACCUUAUAGCUUUUUCUUUCCUUUUUGCUUACAUGGAGAAAUACCAGUUAAUAUAAAUUUAAAUCUCAACAACUGGAUCAAUUGGAAUCUAAGGGAUGAUGACAGUGACCUUUUCUGACCCUCAUGACUUCAAUCAACUAGAGCUUGGAUUCUAUCAUCCAAGCCCCUUCAUGAAUAUGCAAGUACCAAUAGCUUAAACUUCCCCAGUUUCGCUGUUCAGAGAGCCACUUCUUUGGGAAAAAUCCCUGGUAUUCUCCUUACUUGCAGCAAGUAAUAAGUCCUUCUCCAGCAA